AAAGCAGGGGAUCGCAAGACCUUGCGCUUUUGGAGUGGCCGAUGCCUGAUUAGCUAGUUGGUGGGGUAAGGGCCUACCAAGGCGACGAUCAGUAGUUGGUCUGAGAGGACGACCAGCCACACUGGGACUGAGACACGGCCCAGACUCCUACGGGAGGCAGCAGUGGGGAAUUUUGGACAAUGGGCGAAAGCCUGAUCCAGCAAUGCCGCGUGAGUGAAGAAGGCCUUCGGGUUGUAAAGCUCUUUCAGUCGAGAAGAAAAGGUCGCGACUAAUAAUCGCGACUCAUGACGGUAUCGACAGAAGAAGCACCGGCUAACUACGUGCCAGCAGCCGCGGUAAUACGUAGGGUGCGAGCGUUAAUCGGAAUUACUGGGCGUAAAGGGUGCGCAGGCGGCUUUGUAAGUCAGAUGUGAAAUCCCCGGGCUUAACCUGGGAAUUGCGUUUGAAACUACAAGGCUAGA
rnacentral:rRNA from 1 species